rnacentral:rRNA from 1 species
GACGAACGCUGGCGGCGUGCUUAACACAUGCAAGUCGAACGGAAAGGCCUGCUUUCCCUUGUGGAUUGCGGGUACUCGAGUGGCGAACGGGUGAGUAACACGGGAGUGAUCUGCCCCCAACUUGGGUAUAAGCCUGGGAAACUGGGUCUAAUUCCCGAUAGGACUGCAGGGUGGUGCCUGUGGUGGGAAACGGUUUUCUAGUGGUUGGGGGUGAGCUCGCGGCCUAUCAGCUUGUUGGUGGGGUAAUGGCCUACCAAGGCGGCGACGGGUAGCCGGCCUGGGAGGGUGGACGGCCACAUUGGGACUGAGAUACGGCCCAGACUCCUACGGGAGGCAGCAGUGGGGAAUAUUGCACAAUGGGCGGAAGCCUGAUGCAGCGACGCCGCGUGGGGGAUGACGGCCUUCGGGUUGUAAACUCCUUUCGACCGCGAGGAAGCCACCUGGUUGGAAGGGUGGUGACGGUAGUGGUAGAAGAAGCACCGGCUAACUACGUG